UACGUAGGGUGCGAGCGUUAAUCGGAAUUACUGGGCGUAAAGCGUGCGCAGGCGGUUUUGUAAGCCAGAUGUGAAAUCCCCGGGCUUAACUCGGGAACUGCGUCUGAUACUGGAAGGCUUGAGUUCGGGAGAGGAAUGUGGAAUUCCAGGUGUAGCGGUGAAAUGCGUAGAUAUCUGGAGGAACACCGGUGGCGAAGGCGGCAUUCUGGACCGAAACUGACGCUGAGGCGCGAAAGCCAGGGGAGCAAACGGG
rnacentral:rRNA from 1 species